rnacentral:rRNA from 1 species
AGCGGUGCGGCAGCUAAACAUGCAAGUCGAGCGGUAGCACAGAAGAGCUUGCUCUUUGGGUGACGAGCGGCGGACGGGUGAGUAAUGUCUGGGAAACUGCCUGAUGGAGGGGGAUAACUACUGGAAACGGUAGCUAAUACCGCAUAACCUCGCAAGAGCAAAGAGGGGGACCUUCGGGCCUCUCGCCAUCAGAUGUGCCCAGAUGGGAUUAGCUAGUAGGUGAGGUAAUGGCUCACCUAGGCGACGAUCCCUAGCUGGUCUGAGAGGAUGACCAGCCACACUGGAACUGAGACACGGUCCAGACUCCUACGGGAGGCAGCAGUGGGGAAUAUUGCACAAUGGGCGCAAGCCUGAUGCAGCCAUGCCGCGUGUGUGAAGAAGGCCUUCGGGUUGUAAAGCACUUUCAGCGAGGAGGAAGGCGGUAAGGUUAAUAACCUUAUCGAUUGACGUUACUCGCAGAAGAAGCACCGGCUAACUCCGUGCCAGCAGCCGCGGUAAUACGGAGGGUGCAAGCGUUAAUCGGAAUGACUGGGCGUAAAGCGCACGCAGGCGGUCUGUUAAGUUGGAUGUGAAAUCCCCGGGCUUAACCUGGGAACUGCAUUCAAAACUGACAGGCUAGAGUCUUGUAGAGGGGGGUAGAAUUCCAGGUGUAGCGGUGAAAUGCGUAGAGAUCUGGAGGAAUACCGGUGGCGAAGGCGGCCCCCUGGACAAAGACUGACGCUCAGGUGCGAAAGCGUGGGGGAGCAAACAGGAUUAGAUACCCUGGUAGUCCACGCUGUAAACGAUGUCGAUUUGGAGGUUGUGCCCUUGAGGCGUGGCUUCCGGAGCUAACGCGUUAAAUCGACCGCCUGGGGAGUACGGCCGCAAGGUUAAAACUCAAAUGAAUUGACGGGGGCCCGCACAAGCGGUGGAGCAUGUGGUUUAAUUCGAUGCAACGCGAAGAACCUUACCUACUCUUGACAUCCAGAGAACUUUCCAGAGAUGGAUUGGUGCCUUCGGGAACUCUGAGACAGGUGCUGCAUGGCUGUCGUCAGCUCGUGUUGUGAAAUGUUGGGUUAAGUCCCGCAACGAGCGCAACCCUUAUCCUUUGUUGCCAGCGAUUCGGUCGGGAACUCAAAGGAGACUGCCGGUGAUAAACCGGAGGAAGGUGGGGAUGACGUCAAGUCAUCAUGGCCCUUACGAGUAGGGCUACACACGUGCUACAAUGGCGUAUACAAAGAGAAGCGACCUCGCGAGAGCAAGCGGACCUCAUAAAGUACGUCGUAGUCCGGAUUGGAGUCUGCAACUCGACUCCAUGAAGUCGGAAUCGCUAGUAAUCGUAGAUCAGAAUGCUACGGUGAAUACGUUCCCGGGCCUUGUACACACCGCCCGUCACACCAUGGGAGUGGGUUGCAAAAGAAGUAGGUAGCUUAACCUUCGGGAGGGCGCUUACCACUUUGGAUCAAGGGU